AGAACGAACGCUUGCGGCGCGCCUAAUACAUGCAAGUCGAACGCUGUAGCAAUACAGAGUGGCGCACGGGUGAGUAACGCGUGGAUAAUCUGCCUAUCAGUGGGGGAUAACUAUCCGAAAGGGUAGCUAAUACCGCAUAAUACCCACGGGUCAAAGGAGCAAUUCGCUUUAGGAGGGGGUCGCGGUCGAUUAGUUAGUUGGCGGGGUAAUGGCCCACCAAGACUUUGAUCGAUA
rnacentral:rRNA from 1 species